UACGAAGGGUGCAAGCGUUACUCGGAAUUACUGGGCGUAAAGCGUGCGUAGGUGGUUUGUUAAGUCUGUUGUGAAAGCCCCCGGGCUCAACCUGGGAAUGGCAAUGGAUACUGGCAAGCUAGAGUGCGGUAGAGGGUAGUGGAAUUCCCGGUGUAGCGGUGAAAUGCGUAGAGAUCGGGAGGAACACCAGUGGCGAAGGCGACUACCUGGCCGUGUUCUUGACGCUGAGGCGCGAAAGCUAGGGGGAGCAAACGGG
rnacentral:rRNA from 1 species